CUCUGUGAUAGGUACUCCAAGCUUUCUAACGAGCCAGUUAUUUUGGGAUCGUCCACAAGUCGAACAACCCGCCUUUGGAUCCGAUCAAAUGGCAGGAGUUGGUACUGGGGGGUGCUCCGGCCCAAAGGGGUGAGCAACUAGUAUACUCGAAUAUGUA